GACGAACGCUGGCGGCGUGCUUAACACAUGCAAGUCGAACGGAAAGGCCUGCUUUCCCUUGUGGAUUGCGGGUACUCGAGUGGCUAACGGGUGAGUAACACGUGAGUGAUCUGCCCCCAACUUGGGUAUAAGCCUGGGAAACUGGGUCUAAUUCCCGAUAGGACUGCAGGGUGGUGCCUGUGGUGGCAAACGAUUUUCUAGUGGUUGGGGAUGAGCUCGCGGCCUAUCAGCUUGUUGGUGGGGUAAUGGCCUACCAAGGCGGCGACGGGUAGCCGGCCUGGGGGGGUGGACGGUGACAUUGGGACUGAGUUACGGCCCAGACUCGUACGGGAGGCAGCAGUGGGGAAUAUUGGACAAUGGGCGGGAGCCUGAUGCAGCGACGCCGCGUGGGGGAUGUCGGCCUUCGGGUUGUAAACUCCUUUCGACCGAGAGGAAGCCACCUGGUUGGAAGGGUGGUGACGGUAGUGGUAGAAGAAGCACCGGCUAACUACGUG
rnacentral:rRNA from 1 species